CAGUUUUGUGCUCUUUCACCAUCAGAAUGCAGCUACUAUGGUUAGGAAUUAAACCAGUGGCAAAAUGUCAUAGCCAUUAAGCCUGUGUUGCAACGCUGUAUUUUUUUUAGUGUUAAUGUUCCUUUACAAACUGUGUCAAAAGAUCCAUUGACAUACGUGUACAAUCAAUUUGUGGUAGUUCAAACUGAAAUAAUUCAAAGUUCCUGAUAAUUAAAACUUAUUUGAACCCUUAGUCAGACCUUCUUCAUCUUCAAUGCAGUUCGAUACAGCUUUAUUUGAAGAAGGCAUUUUAUUCAUUCAAAUAUUUUGAACAACUGCAAAAGAAUAUGGGGACCCAAAAAGAUGUGAUGAGAGUGCGUUCAUAAGGUGUGAAUAGUCAGUGUGCCAGCAGUUGAUAUUCAGGCUGUUGGGCUUACAGGAACUACUGCAAAAUUGCACUACGCCCUGGAUCGUGUUAGUGGCCCUGAUGUUCUGGAUGAGGCAUUCAGUGAGAUUUUCUCUAAUCACUCCUUUUUUCAUAAAGUAUUCGUAAGUUCUGUGUCGGCCUGAUUUCAAGUAGCGGUGAUCCAGUGGCUAUGGCAUUCUGCAUGAAUUGGUCCUGGGUUCAACUCCUGGCCACAGCGGCCGCAUUCAGAUGGUAGCGGAAUGCAAGAGCACUUGUGUACUGCGCUUUGGGAGCACAUUAAAGAACCCCCGGGGGUCCAAACAAAUCCAGAGCCCUCCACUACCAACUGCGAAGUUUUGGGACGUUAAACUCUAUGAUGAUGAUGAUAAUUAAUCCUUUCCAUAACUCAUUAAGAGUUGUGCAGAAGAAGGCAUAAAAUUGAUUUGCACCGACAUGCCUAUUUGUAUAAAAACAUUUAGUCCUGCUUGCUUUUCAUUCAACUUGAAUAAUUCAGUCAUCAGGCAAUUCAGACAAGAAUCUAUGGUUCCUUGGGAGCUUUAAUAUAUGCAGGUUGGCUACAUUUGUUUUGUAAUUAUAACGAAUAGAUUUGUGGCACACUAAGUAUAAACUGGCUCUGUAACACCAUCAGACAUGUUCCUAUUGAUUAUAAAGCAUUUUAUUUUCAAUAUGGGUUGGUCUAAAGUCCAUAACUGUAACUACGAGACAAAAGCCACCGGCACAUCCUUACACACACGCAAUGGUUAUGCUGUUUUCGAAGCACGAAGAGGCCAAAUGGCACAAGUUGAGCUAGUAUGUAUGCUUUGGUGAUAGCGAAAUGGCAUGAAAAGUGCAUGCUCCUAGGAAAACAUCUUUGCAUCCUAUGUCUCAAGGUGCACAUGUUUUCUUUUUGAGAUCCUUCGUUGUCCUGAGGACAUCUUUGAGCAUGCGGCGUCAUUAGAGAGUUUUAGCUUGUCAGUAUACAUAUUUUUAUUUACAGAAUACUGGUGGUGCAGGUGAAAGCAGCAGUGCUGAUGGUGACAGUUUGGGAUGAUGUGUUCAAACAAAACACAUUACGAAUGUUUUCAUGUUGGAAAAUGUGCAGCCAGUAUACGUGUAUGAAGAUUUGUUACCACCAAUGCCUUUGUACUAAUGGCAUCUUCAGAUUAUUGUUUUCAAGCACUCUAAAGCACUCCUAAAGGUCGAAAAGGGGUGCUCUGGCUACAUUUGGAUGGUCCUUUCCAAUUGCUCAACUCCAAAUUUAAGUGCCGAGAAGCGCUCCCAUCAUCGCCGUCAAAGCAACCAAGAAAUUCGGUCUGUUUCCAGUCACUUGACCCCACCCAUACCCGUGGUUGCACCUGCGAAGGGGGACACUCGCUCCAUUCACGGCAACGAUUAUCAUCCACGUAUGACCCGCUGCGGUGGCUUACUGACUGUGGUGUUGCGCUGCUAAGCACGAGGUCGUGGGAUCAAAUCCUGGCAAAAAUGCCUGUGUCCCCGUGCAUUGGGGGCACAUUAAAAGUCCCCUGGUGGUCCAAAUUAAUCUGCAGUCCCCCACUAUGGCGUGCUUCAUAAUCAGAUCGUAAUUUUGGCACGUAAAACCCCCAAAUUCAUUCAUUCAUUCAUCCACGUAGGCUGCCAUUACCGCACUGUUUCACAUCUAAACGCAGCCUACGGCGACGCUAGCUGGCCACGUCCCCCUUAGCUUUCGCUUCCUUUCCUCUCACUGCUCCAAAAAGCAGUUGUUCACUUGGCACAAAAUAUCUACCACUUGGACGCAGACUGCCUCCAGAAUCGAUCUGCUCAGAUUUGGGGGACCACAGCGACCAUCUAAAGAUGCCAUUAGUUGUAAUAGUUUCGCAUGCCCUAGUGAAACUUUACAAAACCAGAUGCUGCCACAGUCGCAGCUGUACCCACCUGCAUCCCCAGUGUUGUGUAGUAAGCGGUGAUAUGUACACAGACAAGUUAGAACAAUAUGCUAACAAAACUCUGUAGCAGUGGAAAGUGUUGAUUGGGUAGAGGACAUUUGCAGCUGCACUGUGUGAAAGCGCUUCCAGUGAGGUGUGCUGGGCUUCCAUGAGCAUUGGUCUGGAAAAGAACAAAGGUGCACGAAGCAAUGGUUGAUGCAUGUGUUGUGUCACAUGCCCGCAUGUGCACAUGUUAAUGCUCUAUUUGAGUGCUACAGCCUCAAUAUUCGUUUUUCAUGUACCUGAAGAAGGUUGCAAGACAUACAGCUAUUUUCUCUCACUUUUCUAAUACCUCCCCCUCCCCUUUGUUUCUUGUUCUUUCCUUUUUCACCCCAUUGAGGUUUUGUCUGCUCUGAUAUCAGUUCGGAUUUAUUGUUUUAGGCUGACAAUAGUCGUCCAGCCGCUUUUAGAGCCCGAGUGACUUAUGUGAGGAGGUAAUGCAUGUUGAAGGAGCACUGAAGUGGCCUAGUUGGUGCGUACUAAAGAGGGAAUGAACAGCACAGAAGAUAGAACAAAGUUUCGGAUGGCCAGUGCAGUAUUGUGUCUGCUGUCCUACGUUUCAUCAUAUUUUCUGUGUGAUUUGCUUCUUCUUUAAAGCACAUAGCUUUACACCCCACAUAGCUUUUACAGUCAGAGUUCAAUGACUCAUCAACAGUAUCACUCUCAGUUUCUUUCUUCAAAAAUUGCUCAAAUGGGUCUCGGCUAACGUCUAAAAAGUGUUGCAUGAUUUGAAAAGCGUUGCAUUUGCGGUUCAAUGUGCGAUCACUUCGCACUCGCUUUAGUUUGUUGUGCUGCUAUUGAAAUGACUACAGCUGAAAGUGCUAAUUUUUUAGUAUAAGCACUAUGUUCACUUUGUUGUGUUACAGUAAUGCGUGCAUGUGCUAGCUGUAGCCAGCUGUCAUGUGGGCGCAACCUUGUACAAUUUUGUCUGAACCAGUCUCGGUUUAGGAAUGAAUUGGCACAUCUUAUAUGUUUAGUUUCUGUGCCCAUGUAGGCACAAAUGCCGUCUUUACGUUAUGAGUAAGCUUGCUGGAUCAAUGCAAUCUUAAACCACUGUUGCUCUAGCAUUAGCUAUGGUCGUUGAACACAGUCUCCACUGAACUUGUUGAGAUUUAUCGAUGCUAGUAGGAAGCUACUGCACCUGUACGACAUGAGCUAUGGGCUGCACAGGCUGAUGAUUGGCGCCAUGCACCAGCAGUUAUACUUUGGUGAGUCAAAUUGGGUUUUGACUAUCGAAAUUGUGACAGUGUGUGGCAGCAAUUUAUGCCACGAAGUGAACUGUGCAGUUCACUUUUAUUAAAUUCAGCACUUGUUUAGUUGACAUAAGUCAAAUGCAUUUUUAUUUGACCAUGCCUCAAAAGUCCCAGAAGACUUCUACACUUCCUUUAAUUUAAAGGGACAGUAAAGGGGAACACCCAGUCAAACUGGAUUGGCAAAUAUACUUCUGGAAUACCAGGAACGUCGGUCUCGCCGUGAGCGGUGUCUCUUUAAAGAAAAGAUGCAAAAUUAAAAAAUAGGCUCGGGAUAUUCCCUGGCUAGUUUCUCACAAUGUCAUCAGAUUUGGACAGUGUGUACUUGAAGUUAAUUAAUAGUUUAUAGACAAACAAAGAUUCCAUUGCAUUCUAAAGGAACCAGUAACUCAAUUUAGUGAGUUUUAUCAUUUCGGUACAAAGAUUAAAGGCUCUUCACAUAAAACUCUGACACUGAAAGGACUCGUGUUGGUAAGUUCAGGUCUUCCUAGCUCAUCUGUUGCCGUUUUCAGGUCCACCUUAAAUGAGUAAGUGCAGAUACUAUGCAUCCACCUGAAGGCUUCGUGUUUGUGCAGUGUGGUAUAGUGACAUCACCUAGCAUGCACUCGGUUGCACCUUCUUCCAUAUUUCUUUUGAGUGUAUGUGAUUACAUCACACACACAGGCCUUGGCUGCGAGUGGUGCUAGGUAAAAAAUCCCUGAGUUAAGCUUGUACAUAUACACGAAUACUCAAGAAAGUCGAUGGAAGGAUGGCACUGCGGUAGCUAAUUUGUAAAGCACUGCACACAUAAUCCGGAUUAUAUGGGUUUGGCUCCCACCUGCUGCACGUUAUCUUUUCAUCCACUUUCAUCUCCCUUUUUCGUAUUGUUUCUACAUUUAAAUCAGACGUAGAAAUUAAUUUCCCCUGUUCUUUCUCAGGCUUCACUACCUGUUUCUUUGUAUGGUUGUGCUUAGACAUGACGCACGAGAGGCUUCAGUCAAGAUUACACUAACCAGUGCAAACACGAAGUGAAACUCGUUAUCGCAAGUAAAAAUUUUCAUGAUUGGACAUAUGACACGCAAAGGGCUUAUGCGAAAAACUGAAACCUUUCCUUCCUUUUUCUCUACUAAUAACCAGAUGCCAAGCAAACUCGAAUAGGGUUUUCGAGAAAGAAUUCACCAGCAUAAACGUACUUAGUGUUGCUCUUUACUGUCCCUUUAAACAUUAGAUGAUUUGAAGGUUUUGUUGGAGUCGAAUGAACCGGAGUCAGCUGCGUGAUUGUAAUCCGAGUGCUUUGUCAUGGUGAAACCAUCUUCAUCGGUCUGUGAUUCGACACUACUUGCUUUAUACAGGUGUUUUCUAACUCUGUGGCACUGUAAUGUAAAAAUACUGAAGCAUUCAGCUAAUGGGGUAGUCGCCAUGAUGAUCAUUGCAGAGCUCCAAGCAAUCAGCGUUGUUAUUUUCUUUGUGCCUCUGGGCUACCAAUGAUAAGACCGGUUUGCGAAAGCAAAUCCAAAGGGUCUAAACGUCAAGCGAGCAGUGAGGCUGUUGCCGCUGUUAUAGUCUUACAGACUUAAUUGUGAAGUUUGUAGAGGUGCAGCUUUAUUCUCGUAAUCAAAUGGUAAUUUCGUUGUCCGUGUCCAUACCUUUGUAUUUGGACAUUAAAGGCUGGUCAAGAUGUGCAUCCAUUAAUGACCUUGUUAUGUGGUAUAGUUUUGAGUUGUGACUUUUUUGUUUGUAUGCCGGUGAAGGCGACUGCUCAUAUUGAACAUUUUCUUUUUCAUAACUGUUACGGUAUUCGUAAUGUGGAGUUGAUAAAGCUUGGCUGGCUUAAUUGUCUUUCUCUUUGUUGGAGGGAGUAUGCGUAGGCCGUCGAAUUAAUCUUUAAUGGUGUUGGUUGACCUUUGUCUAGCUGCGCUUUAUAAAGUGGCACAUGCAUAAAGAUUUGUGAUUGUGCGAUUUGAGAUUGUGCCAUGCAAAAGGGAUUUUUGCAUAACCCCCUUUUUUUUUGUGAGGUUGUGCACAGGUGCAUGUUAAAGAUACUUAUCAAGCAAUGCUUCAACCUGCAAUUAUCAUAAGCUUACAUGGAAACAGGGUUUCUCACUGUGUUUGAUCUCUUCAUUUUGUGUAAUGUGCAGAGUGUGUACUUCUCUAAAGGCAAGUGUUCCAUGGCUUGCAGAUUGCAGCAUGCCUGUUUGAAAGGCGAGUUGUGGUGCAUUUAUUUUGGCUUGUAUUUGAGGGCACGCUUUUGUUUGUCAUGGGUGUCCUGCCUCCUUGUAGCCUCUAAAGCUGCGACACUGAACCAUGAAUGUGUCAGGGACUCGUUGACUUUUGAGAGUGUUAGCAUAUCCUAGAUGGUAAAGUGAAGCAGAAAUUCUUAAAGGGGCUUUCCAAAUCUCUGAGAGUCACCGAAAUAGGCUCACAUGAUCGCAUUCAUUCAACACAGAAGUUUAAUAAUUGCUGUUGUUUUACAUCCCAAAUCUAUAGUUUGUCUGUGUGUGGUGUCACAGAAGACAGCUGUGGAAUUUGUGACCACCUGCAGUUCUCUUAAUCCACGCCUAAAUCUAAGUUCUACUCAAACAUUUUUUUGCAUUCCGCCCCCCUUUGGAAUGCAGCCACAGGCACUGGGAGUCCAACACAUGACUUUGUUCUCGGAGGCAGAACAGCAUAGCUACUGAGACACUAUGGCGAGUAGAGAAAUUUCAAUGCGUACAAAGAAAGUUGCUUUCAAUUUGAAUUUGAGAGACCCUCCCUCACCCAUUUUAUUCUCCUACUGACAUGUACCGACAUAGUCAGUACCAGAUGAACAUGCUCGCAGAGCAGGCAAGUCUUGCCGUUCGCAUGCCAUUGUUGCCUGUUUAUUGUUGCCCAUUUCCAUGAGUGCUGACAGCUGUUGCCGUGGUUAUAACAGUUAGGUAGAGUAAAUCUAAAUAAAAUACAAGUGACACUGGACAUUCUUUUUUUUUGACAGCUUGAAGGAAAUGACUGCUGACGAAAGGGAACUGGCAGUUGCUCAAUAAGUGUAAAAAGACGGCUAAAAUCCCACAGGAGAUGUCCAUAAUCUCUCCGUAGUUCCGGAAUGCAUGUUUCCUUCUUUAAUCUGUUUUAGUGUAUCUGUCUGAGCAAUAUGGUGGAACAGUAAAAUUUACAACAAUAUGUCACCACCAGCAUACAUACGAGAUCUGUCUGAAAAGCAUCCAAGAUCCUUUACUUUAGGGAAAACUACAGAGUGCAGGUUGGUAACAUUCAGCAUUGUGGAAGGAGGGUCUGUGAUGUAUAUAGCCUGCAGGUGGCAUGGGCAUCACUACUGUCUGGUGUUGUGCUGUACUGUCAUCUGGUUUUCUUCCAAUUAUAAGUGGUCAAAAAUGACAGUGAAUUGUACAAAGACUAUGUGCAAAGUUCUGUACAAAGUUUGGUGAUACUCAAUAAGAAGUGAUUCGCAACAUGCAAACACCCCUUGGCAACAAUGAUAGGGGCAUAAAACAGAUGAAAAUGGGGUACACCUGCAUCAAGGAUAGCCACACGUCUGUGGAGAGAGCCACACUGUGGGUGGUCAUCAGCAAGUCGUAAUGAUGCAUUUGUUGAUGGACUGCGAACCUUGAUAAUGAGAGAAUGUCAGUUAACUGUGAGAGAGAAAUUGCCCACCUGCAGAUACCAACAAAGAUGCUGUGAAUUUCAUUUCAAGUAUGAUUUUUGUAUGCAGCGCGUAGCUGCAAAGGUUGUGCCCUAGAUUUUGCGAGUAGAGCUCAAAGACCUGGCAACCAGAAGAGAAUAACGCCCCUGUUCGUGCUGGUUGUAUGAUUGUCAUUUUGGGCACAGCACAGAAUUUCAGUGGUUCUUCAGUCUCCCUAUUCAGAGGUGGCCCCAUACAACUUCUGGCUGCUCCUAAAAAUCAAAAAGGAAUGCAUUUUUGCACCGGUGAGAUGGGUGCAGAAUGCAAGAACACUCAUGUAGCAUGCUUUGGCUGCAUAUUAUAGAAAACGAGAAAGUGAAAAUCAAUCGGGACCCAUCCAUUAUGAUGCCCCUCUUGACCGAAAAGUUUAUGGAACCCGGGAUUUGCAGUUUUGGGAUGUCAAACUUCAAGGUCGUCUUUUUCUUUACAGUUGUCAGAACGAAAACUCGGAUCCCUGGGGUGCAGCCAGUCACAAAAGUUUAUGGGACCCGUGAUUCGCAAAGAGGCUCAAUUUCCGAAAAGCCUUGUCACAUAGCCGUGAAUUCGAAGUUUCAAUCUGUAGUAGUUUUUUCAACCUAUACUGCGAUUAAAAAAAUUAGAACAGUCAUACCACAGCAGAGCCGCAAUUCACAUCCGUUAAGCAUCUCGUGUCCUGUAAACUUUUGUUGCCAAGUAUCAUUUGCAGGAAAUUCUGACCAGUAGCUUCGUCUUCCUGGCCAAAAGAAGUUGCCCGCUAGUACAGCAUGACUGUCUACCCUGCUUAGUCCUCGCUUUUACUUCUUAUUUUUUAUUAUUUAAUCAUAGAGGCACUGGCACUGUGAUGGUCUUUAUGCUUGUAAAUUGACCUUCAUCUGGUAGUAUACACUGACCUCAAUUGUUUUGCCUGUCACUGCAUGUUAUAAGACUGGGUGAUACUCAUGGCACGGAAUCUUACGCUCCAGUGCUGGCAGCGUCAUGCUCCGACAAAUUACUCAUUUCUUGGGAAAUACACUAUGCAGCCGUAAGGCAAGGAAAAAAAAAAAACAUUGUAUCCAGCUACCUGUGCCCCCGUCUCCUUUGCGGGCCUGGCUUGUGUAAAAAUACUGUUUCACAUUAUCUUGGAGGUGUACACAGUGUAAAUAGAUAAACUGCAGAGAAUCCAGCGAUGAGCUGCAUUUAAAAACUGUUGUGUGUCCAGUGAUGGCGCCGAAGUCUUCUGCUACCUCAGCUGAUCAUUGUCGUCUUUUCAUAGUGAGCAGCUUGAAUGGCUGUAGUAGAAGCAAGUUACUAUCUCUCUCCCUCUUGACCCAAGGUGUCUGUCGCUUUAAUUUGUUUGGAUUUCUUAUUGAUAUGCUGGUUUUUCUGUGCAUGUGUGUUGUGUGUGUUGCAUUGUUGGUACCCUUGGCCAACUGAAUGGUAUGACGCUUCGUAAGGCAUUGUAUUGAACUAGUGAUGAAGGGCAUUGCUUCAUUUGGGUAUUAUAUUGCGAAAACUGCUUUUCGUUUGUUUGUCACGCUGUUCUCUGUCUGUGUACAGCUGUCAGUCCUGCGUGGCUGUCUAUUGCCGAAGUUCAUUUUGGUUGUGUCGGACGAUAGCUUUGUGACGGUCUUUGGCAAUGCGGUGAAUUUUCUCGUUGCCUUUACGCCUGUUCAUUGUUCGCAGUCGUGAAACAUUUAUCAUAAGUCAUCUCCGCUUAUCACGAACUGUUGAACAGAACCGGUGAAGGUCGUGUACUCACACUAGAUAGAUUUAUUCUGUGAAACACCCUUCACAAGACAGCUGAGACAUUGAUACGAGCUACGUUGAAAGGCACACUGUGAAUUUGCUGCUUAAUUCUUUCAGUUUGGUAAUGGCGUAUUUGGCUUUGCGCCUGUUGUGUAGCAGUUACGACUGCGAGGCACAUCCUGUGCUUAUUACUGGAGCAAGUAUGUCGUGAAACUGACCAUGAAGUAGUGGUCGUACUAAAGCUGCUUCCCUUCUUUUCAGGCUUUUAAAUGCUUAGCAACCAGAUUUCCUCGAUUUGUGAAGAAAAUGUAUUAUUUGCUCGACAAGUUCUGUGCAAACGCUAUACUCUGUCUGGCCAAUUGCAUGCAGUGCAUUGAAGCCUACAGCUCAUGUCAGCCAAUCGCUGAUGACAUGAGCGGCUGUACAUUUUAGAGAAGGGAGGAGGGCUCACCCAUUUUGCUCUACUGAUUGUUCCAUGAAGGUACAAUUCAGUCGGCAUUGCACGGGGAGCGAUGACACCUUUUUUCCGGCUCUCUUCUUUGGUUGGCUGCUGUGACCCGUAGCUUUCCCUUCACUGCUAAGAAUUAGUGAGAUGGAGCAUAUAAGUUGCAUUUGACACUUGCAGUUUGAACCUUAAACAACACAAUUUGGAGGUUAUACUAAACAAGGAAGAGUGUCUUCCCUGUCACCAGCAGCACUGCUGGUCGUUGUGCGAUUGUAUACACAUUUGUUUUCUGCCGUCACCAUGCACACUUUGGCUCUUGAUGGUCGUACGAGUAAUUUACGUAUUUGUUCAAUUGACUGAAAGGCAAAUGCUGAAGUUAUCUUGCUUCCAAGCACUGUAUUGCUUUGACCGGACUCAUCACUUCCUCUGUUUUGCUGGUAUUACUUAGGAAAAAGUUAUACUUUACCUUUGGAGAGUGUGUGGAUAUGUUCAUGCAAUGCUUGUCCAAGGCUGAACAGUUCAGCAACAUUGUCACAGCUGCUGCUGGUUCUGUGUAAAUAAUCCGUGUUCCUUGGAAGUUGGGGAAAUGUCUAGCUACCUCAGGUCAUUGACCAGCCACUACUGAAAACGUCCAUAUGUCGGGCCAGUAUCCACUUGCCGGCAUUUAAAGUCCUCAGAAUUAUUGUGCUGCACAUUUUUUGGUGUUUAGCACUUUGAUAUGUAGUGUCUGUUUAUUGCUUACAAUAUUUUGAAAAAGGUGUUCUUUUUUGGCAAUACUUCAGUCUCACCUAAUAGGUAAACUCUGUAGUCCAAGCUUUUUUUCUGCAUAGUAUGCAAACAUUGGCUCAGAUGCUGACAUUCUGAAACAAAAGAACAAGCAAGCAAGCAAGCAAGAUAUUUGAAUUAAAAUUGUGAGAACUGCAGAACUAAAGAUGUGUGUAAACAUGUAGGGUACCAGAAAACUCACAAACAUGUUUUUAACUAGCAUUAUCUGAUAUGACAUAUUGCAAAAAAUGGCAGUUCAUGGACUGCUCUUCAAUGAGUAGUUUCUUGUUGGAAUGCUUAAUCAUCAGCUGACAGAAAACAUUUAAAAGAUCUUGCAUCUUCUGUUGGUAUUCCUACGCACAUGCUCAUAGAAAAAGUUGUUUCUGGUGCCGCAGUCUCACAGGUGCUUUUUGUGAAGCCUGCUUAUUGAGACACCAGCUUCUUGCAAUUUUCUCUUGUGAUCUCUCAUUUACAUGUUUAUGCUUUUGGGGGCAUAUGCAACACUGGUGUUGUUCAUUUACAUGGUUACUUUUGCAUUGUUUGGCAUUUGUUGUGAGGAAUUGUGGUGUGACAUAUCAUUGAGCAGGAGCUUUUUAUUAUUUUUUGUUUUGUUUCACUGUUUACUUGGCAAGCAAACAAGCAUGGCACUAUAGAGCUGUUUUGAAGUGUCUCAACAUUUUACAUGAUUGGGCAGCUCUUACACCUGUUUUACCGUGCAACAUUUAUCCUUGCUUUCACUUGCUAGAGUCGUUCAGAGUACUCUAUGGAUUGUCCUUGUGAAUGCAGAUUGUUUUAGAAAGAAUGCAACUAAAUGUACCGGUUUAGAAUAUGCUCAGUGUAACAUAGUGUCACCUUGAAAAUAAAGCAUCAAAGUAAACAUGAAUGUGUC